rnacentral:lncRNA from 1 species
CCUCUUUUAUUUUGACCAACCGUCAUUACAAUACUUAUCGCGCCAAAUUGGUUAUUAUGAUGAAAUUGUCUUUCUUUUUAAAUUUUCAUGAUAUUAAGCACACUUAUUAUCCUAGAUUAUUGAAAACUUUUAGUGUUGAGACGGGUCUUCCAACUAAAUCAUCAUUUGCAAGGGGUAACACCAUAACAAAAAUUAUUUGAAUCCUUUUCAUCAUUGAAAUUUCUAUUUAUAAAUUAAUAACUAUUGAGAAAUAAUUUUCUUUUUACAAAGAACAAUCGUUUGCUGAUUACAAUAGAAAUUUGGUUAGCUGUUCGUGGCCAAUAAAAUUUUAUUAAUUUAAAAUCCGUACGAAAUUCGAAUUAUAUUAAAUUCAAAAUAUAUUAUUCCCCAA